CCGGUAGAAAAAUUCUUCCAGCUCCAGGCUACUUGUUUCACUUUUAAAAAAUGGAGCCGUGGAACUAUCAAAUCAAUCAACAAAUAUUUGAGCUACCACUGUGCUUUGGAGAAAAUCAAUGACGGUGGAGAGAGCCAAGCUUCUUGUCCCCUCAAGAGCUCACGAUGGAGUUGGAGAGGCAGAAACGAAGGAUAAUCAAUAGAUGUGUAUCUAACUUACUUUUCUUAAUAGCUGCAUAAUUUCCCAUAAUGUGCCACUAUUUAUUCAAGUUGUAUCAGUUAGCUUUGUAAAAAAAAAUAUAUAUAUAUGUCAGUUAGCUUUUGCUGUGUUACUAACCACUCCCAACUUUAGUAGCUUAAACAGCAGCAUGUAUUAAUUCCCAUGAUUCUCUGGGUUGGCGGGGAAGUUUUUCUCAUCUGGGUCAACUCAGCUUAUCUCUGCUGGGUUCACUCUUGUUUCUAGGAGAUGCUGGCGAGUUAACAGCAAGUUGGAUGUCGAGGACGGCCUCAGUCACAUCACUGCCGGUUGCCAAGCUCUUGGCCAUACAGACAGUUGGACGCAGUGACGGGACUCACAGCUCUGGGGAUUUGAGAGUUACAAGGAGACGGUUGACCUGUGUUGCCACCAUAAAAACGCUUCAAAAUGUCUGGGGAAAGGAGAAUGGGAUGAUUCCGAAGGGAUCAAGCACAAUUUAAUGAAAACAGGUAACUUUUGAACCCAGUGCAACUAAAGGAUGGAUAGGAUGUGAAUAGACCUGAAUGUGAGAAAGUUCAUGUACAUUAGAAGGCAUAGCAGGAGGAAACACAAGGGAACAUAGAAAGAAUAGGUCAAGUUUUAGGGUCUGAGAAGGGGAAGAGCAAGAUAUAACCUUGAAAGGUAGACCCAAUCGUAGAGCCAGAUUAAGGGAUUAAUUUUAUUCCCCAACCAAUGGGGAGCCAUUAAAGAUCUUUGAGUAGGGAAUUAUUAGAUCAGAGCUAUGCUUUUGGAAGUUUACUCUGGCUGUAUUGUGUCAGUUGCAAAUAAUCUAUACAGGUUAAGUUUUAUCUGAUGUCACAGGAGGUGUUUAAUUUAUACCACUGAAAUCCAUUUUCUCUCGUCCUUGUCUCAGUAAAGAUAAACAGCCGCUCAGCACCACCAGGUCAAUAUUCCUUUACUUGCAGAACAUUCCUACUCAACUGCCUACUAAGAAGUAUUGAAGAAUUGUCAGCCUUGUGAGGAACUGGGCUAUCG
rnacentral:lncRNA from 1 species